CCAGCCCCCAAGGGCUCUAAUAAGUAGGAAGUUGAGAUUAACUGUAAAGACUAUGGGGAGAGAUGGGGUCAGAUGCCUGAUGGAGUUGGGCUGGCAUCACAGUGGUCCUUUGACCUUUGUAUUCUCCAGGCACUUAGAUACCCAAAGCAAGAGGGGGGUGCCGGGCCGGAGCUUUCGAGGCAGGUACACGGAUUUUUCCUGCCAUCUAGUGGUCAAUCUAGAGAAGUCCAAGCAUCUCUCGCCUUAAAGAGAAGGUGGCUCACUCCGAGGGACACCCAGACUAAUCUUGGCCCCCAGACUAAUCUUCAGUUCGCACCUUGUAAGAGAUCACCCCUAAAAUCAGACCUGCCAUACUCGCAAAGCAGGAAGCUCUUUACAACGUGGACUGUGAGUGUAUGACUUACCAUCCAUCCCCCCUCCCCCCAGAGGGCCUGAGGAAUAUCCACACUUAGGAAAAACUUAAG
rnacentral:lncRNA from 1 species